GGUGUUAGACCCGUUGGAAUGUACUCGGUGGCUAUUGAAGUUUCCUAUGAGUCGGAUUGUUUGAGAAUGCAGUCCAAAUUUGGUGGUAAACUCCAUCUAAGGCUAAAUACUUGUAUGAGUCCGAUAGCAAACAAGUACCGUGAGGGAAAGUUGAAAAGAACUUUGAAGAGAGAGUUAAAUAGUACGUGAAAUCGCUUAGAGGUAAACGAGUGGAGCCGAAAUAGUCGAGCGGGAUUCAGUUGGGUCUAUGAUGAUGAUCGGUUCAGUGAAAACCACAAAAGGCAUCACUGUUUCGGUAUGUUUGUUGAAGGCACAAUGCACUUUCCGUUCGAUUCGACUGUGACCAAUAGAGUUGUUUUGCUGUCGUAAUGUUGAAGGUGACCAUUUGCUUGCAAGUGGUUUUAUAGCUCAUUGCACGGUAAAAUUGAUGUAUUGGUGAAUUUGCAAUCAGUCAAUAUUGAUAAUGCGUUAUGUAUGCGGUUUGGUAGUUGGCUACAUGUAGACUGUUAUCAGGWCGUGUGCGUGAUGUAUUGUUGAUGGAUUGGUUUAAAGUCACAGUAUAAUGUAGGUUAUCUACUCGUCCCGUCUUGAAACACGGACCAAGGAGUUUUAUAUGAUCGCGAGUCAAAGGGCUUUACGAAACCCCAGGGCGCAAUUAAUGUAAAGGUUUACUUCAAGUAGACUGAGAUGUGACCUGAAAGCUAACAGCGAUCAGUGCAACAUCGACCCGUCUGAAGAUGUUCGCAUCUGGGCGGAGUUUGAGCGAUCAUGUAGAGACCCGAAAGAUGGUGAACUAUGCUUGUGCAGGUUGAAGUCAGAGGAAACUCUGAUGGAGGACCGCCGCGGUUCUGACGUGCAAAUCGAUCGUCGGACAUGAGUAUAGGGGCGAAAGACUAAUCGAACCAUCUAGUAGCUGGUUCCCUCCGAAGUUUCCCUCAGGAUAGCUGGCGUUUGUUGUCGUAGUUUUACCUGGUAAAGCGAAUGAUUAGAAGUAUUGGGGGCGAAAUGCCCUCAACUUAUUCUCAAACUUUAAAUGGGUUCGAUGUGUAGCUCGCUUCAUUGGAGUUGCACGUUGAAUACGAAUGCCUAGUGGGCCAUUUUUGGUAAGCAGAACUGGCGAUGUGGGAUGAACCAAACAUUCGGUUAAGGUGCCUAACAUCACGCUCAUGAGAUCCCACAAAAGGUGUUGGUUGAUAAAGACAGCAGGACGGUGGACAUGGAAGUCGUCAUCCGCUAAGGAGUGUGUAACAACUCACCUGCCGAAUCAACCAGCCCUGAAA
rnacentral:rRNA from 1 species